UACGGGGGGGCAAGCGUUGUUCGGAAUUACUGGGCGUAAAGGGCUCGUAGGUGGCCAACUAAGUCAGACGUGAAAUCCCUCGGCUUAACCGGGGAACUGCGUCUGAUACUGGAUGGCUUGAGAUUGGGAGAGGGAUGCGGAAUUCCAGGUGUAGCGGUGAAAUGCGUAGAUAUCUGGAGGAACACCGGUGGCGAAGGCGGCAUCCUGGACCAACACUGACACUGAGGAGCGAAAGCCAGGGUAGCGAACGGG
rnacentral:rRNA from 1 species